UGGCUGAGGUAUUAGAUAAUCCUGCAAGAAUUUUGUUACCGAAACUGGAUCCGAUAAAAAAUCCAGGAACAAAAUGGUUUGGUGUUGAUGUUGAGAUAACCACCAAUUUAUCAAAAUUCAUCAAACAAAAUUUUAAAGGUGCUUAUCUUAAUUGGAGUACGAUCCCACAACCUACCAAAGAUUCGUGGUGGUUAAGUUUUGUGCAACAAUGGCGUUGGGAUCCUGAGCAUGACGCACUUGUUCGGCGCAAGUGGAAGGAGGCUGUAAUUCGUCUAGUGAAAGCCAGAGUUCACAAACUCAAACAAAAAUGGCUU